UUGAUUUGGUUUAAGUGGUGCUUCUUACCC
rnacentral:piRNA from 1 species